UACGUAGGGGGCGAGCGUUGUCCGGAUUUAUUGGGCGUAAAGAGCUCGUAGGCGGCUUGGCAAGUCGGGUGUGAAACCUCCAGCUCAACCUGGAGACGCCACUCGAUACUGCCAUGGCUAGAGUCCGGUAGGGGACCACGGAAUUCCUGGUGUAGCGGUGAAAUGCGCAGAUAUCAGGAGGAACACCGGUGGCGAAGGCGGUGGUCUGGGCCGGCACUGACGCUGAGGAGCGAAAGCGUGGGGAGCAAACAGG
rnacentral:rRNA from 1 species